rnacentral:misc_RNA from 1 species
UCUUACACAGGCAACAAAAUAAGAUAAGGAUAAGAAGAAUAAGCCAAUAUAGUUGAAAAGAGUUGUCUUCACUGUCCACACCAUACAGUUUGCCUUAUCAUAUUAGCUAUCUUACAAACAAAAUAAGAUAAGAAAAAGAUGAAUAAGCCAAUAUAAUUGAAAAGAGUUGUCUUCACUGUCCACACCAUACAGUUUGCCUUAUCAUAUUAGCUAUCUUACAAACAAAAUAAGAUAAGAAAAAGAUGAAUAAGCCAAUAUAA